AUGCACAUUAACUUAGAAUUCUUCUUUAUGUACAAUGUGUGCCACUCCAAAAACCACCUAAGAACUGGAGAGCAAAGAGAGCUCACUUUCGGAAAAAUCCCAGCAAAAUCUCGUUCUCCUUACUUUCACCUUAGAACAACGUGGACACCUUCCUCAGAAGAUAAAGAGGGAUGGAGAAAUGGAGGAACUUCUGAGGAGGAUCCUGAGGGAGCCGCAGCAGGAAGGGGUGAAGUGAGCAGACCCAAGAAUUGAGUGAAGGGACACUGGAAAUUUUGAGGGGCCAGACGAGGGGCACGCAUCCCGCGCCAACUCCGAGACCUAAAUCCAGGAGCCCUGCUCAGAGGUAAGGACCCCCAGAGGGCCAGGAGGGGAAGUCACCCCAGCGGCCACCUCCGGCCGGACGUGGGGAUUCCCCGCU
rnacentral:lncRNA from 1 species